CGAAAACGAAUUCUCUCUUGAGUGGAUCCUGAGUACGACGGAGCACGUGAAAUUCCGUCGGAAUCUGGGAGGACCAUCUCCUAAGGCUAAAUACUCUCUAGUGACCGAUAGUGAACCAGUACCGUGAGGGAAAGGUGAAAAGUACCCCGGAAGGGGAGUGAAAGAGAACUUGAAACCGUGUGCUUACAAGUAGUCAGAGCCCGUUAAUGGGUGAUGGCGUGCCUUUUGUAGAAUGAACCGGCGAGUUACGAUCUGAUGCAAGGUUAAGCAGAAAAUGUGGAGCCGUAGCGAAAGCGAGUCUGAAUAGGGCGAAUGAGUAUUUGGUCGUAGACCCGAAACCAGGUGAUCUACCCUUGGUCAGGUUGAAGUUCAGGUAACACUGAAUGGAGGACCGAACCGACUUACGUUGAAAAGUGAGCGGAUGAACUGAGGGUAGCGGAGAAAUUCCAAUCGAACUUGGAGAUAGCUGGUUCUCUCCGAAAUAGCUUUAGGGCUAGCCUCAAGUGAUGAUUAUUGGAGGUAGAGCACUGUUUGGACGAGGGGCCCCUCUCGGGUUACCGAAUUCAGACAAACUCCGAAUGCCAAAUAAUUUAACUUGGGAGUCAGAAUGUGGGUGAUAAGGUCCAUAUUCGAAAGGGAAACAGCCCAGACCACCAGCUAAGGUCCCAAAAUAUAUGUUAAGUGGAAAAGGAUGUGGCGUUGCCCAGACAACUAGGAUGUUGGCUUAGAAGCAGCCAUCAUUUAAAGAGUGCGUAAUAGCUCACUAGUCGAGUGACACUGCGCCGAAAAUGUACCGGGGCUAAACAUAUUACCGAAGCUGUGGAUUGUCCUUUGGACAAUGGUAGGAGAGCGUUCUAAGGGCGUUGAAGCAUGAUCGCAAGGACAUGUGGAGCGCUUAGAAGUGAGAAUGCCGGUGUGAGUAGCGAAAGACGGGUGAGAAUCCCGUCCACCGAUUGACUAAGGUUUCCAGAGGAAGGCUCGUCCGCUCUGGGUUAGUCGGGUCCUAAGCUGAGGCCGACAGGCGUAGGCGAUGGAUAACAGGUUGAUAUUCCUGUACCACCAUUAUUCGUUUUAAGCGAUGGGGGGACGCAGUAGGAUAGGCGAAGCGUGCUGUUGGAGUGCACGUCCAAGCAGUGAGAUUGAGUGUUAGGCAAAUCCGGCACUCUUAAGAUUGAGCUGUGAUGGGGAGAGGAACUUGUUCCUCGAGUCGUUGAUUUCACACUGCCGAGAAAAGCCUCUAGCUAGAAUAACGGUGCCCGUACCGCAAACCGACACAGGUAGUCAAGAUGAGAAUUCUAAGGUGAGCGAGCGAACUCUCGUUAAGGAACUCGGCAAAAUGACCCCGUAACUUCGGGAGAAGGGGUGCUCUUUGAGGUUCACGCUUCGAAGAGCCGCAGUGAAUAGGCCCAAGCGACUGUUUAUCAAAAACACAGGUCUCUGCUAAACCGUAAGGUGACGUAUAGGGGCUGACGCCUGCCCGGUGCUGGAAGGUUAAGAGGAGUGGUUAGCGCAAGCGAAGCUACGAAUCGAAGCCCCAGUAAACGGCGGCCGUAACUAUAACGGUCCUAAGGUAGCGAAAUUCCUUGUCGGGUAAGUUCCGACCCGCACGAAAGGCGUAACGAUUUGGGCACUGUCUCAACGAGAGACUCGGUGAAAUCAUAGUACCGGUGAAGAUGCCGGUUACCCGCGACAGGACGGAAAGACCCCGUGGAGCUUUACUGUAGCCUGAUAUUGAAAUUCGGUACAGUUUGUACAGGAUAGGUAGGAGCCUUAGAAGCGUGAGCGCUAGCUUACGUGGAGGCAUUGGUGGGAUACUACCCUAAUUGUAUUGGAUUUCUAACCCGCAGCACUUAUCGUGCUGGGAGACAGUGUCAGGCGGGCAGUUUGACUGGGGCGGUCGCCUCCUAAAGAGUAACGGAGGCGCUCAAAGGUUCCCUCAGAAUGGUUGGAAAUCAUUCAUAGAGUGUAAAGGCAUAAGGGAGCUUGACUGCGAGACCUACAAGUCGAGCAGGGUCGAAAGACGGACUUAGUGAUCCGGUGGUUCCGCAUGGAAGGGCCAUCGCUCAACGGAUAAAAGCUACCCCGGGGAUAACAGGCUUAUCUCCCCCAAGAGUUCACAUCGACGGGGAGGUUUGGCACCUCGAUGUCGGCUCAUCGCAUCCUGGGGCUGUAGUCGGUCCCAAGGGUUGGGCUGUUCGCCCAUUAAAGCGGUACGCGAGCUGGGUUCAGAACGUCGUGAGACAGUUCGGUCCCUAUCCGUCGUGGGCGUAGGAAAUUUGAGAGGAGCUGUCCUUAGUACGAGAGGACCGGGAUGGACAUACCUCUGGUGUACCAGUUGUCGUGCCAACGGCAUAGCUGGGUAGCUAUGUAUGGACGGGAUAAGUGCUGAAAGCAUCUAAGCAUGAAGCCCCCCUCGAGAUGAGAUUUCCCAACUUC
rnacentral:rRNA from 1 species